GCCUUUUACCACCUGUUUUGGAUAAGCAAGUUUAAACGCCGUUUCUGUUUAAUUGCGCAGUUUCCACCACGCCGGACUACUGUAACCCUGAUUGCACCAUUCCCGAAGGUCAACCGAUAGUCAUACAUCCCCGGGACAAAGAAAGCCUUCCAUAGGAAGGCUUUCUUUUUUCGUUUAUUACAGUCAGUUCGAGGGGUCAUUGGGAGCAGCCAGACGAGCCAGGCGGUGGCAGCGAGUCAGUGUGGUCUUCAACCCCCCUCAAUCCGGUUCAAGUCAACCGCGGAUCUAAUCUCGCCAACAUCGGGGAAGGCACCCGGCGGCGUGCGUCAUAUGAUCACCGAUUAGACGGAUUCGGAGCGAUUGGCGGUUCUCGGCUGGUGCAGGAAGGAAGCGAUUAUCCGGAGGGACGAAACUAUCCGCUAGGCAGAGCAGCGUCAGAGAACUGCACGCGGUCUCGUGGGUGUCGUCAGUUCAGCAGCAAGAUCAAGUCGGUGUGAGCACCGGCCAGAAAGGCGGAAUGAUGUGGCUGCAGAGCGUCAACGGGGUAGCGGCGGUAAGCAGGGCGCGCCCGAAAGUGCAGUGAGUAGAGCAAAUCUAGUUUUUAAGCAAAGUAAAAGUUAAAGGAGAGGCCAGGAGUCAGAAGAUAGGAGGAAAGGAUCAGGAAAAGGAAAAUGAUGGUCAGUAAAUAAAAAACUUGUAGCCAUGA